CCUACGGGUGGCAGCAGUCGAGAAUCUUUCACAAUGGGGGAAACCCUGAUGGAGCGACGCCGCGUGGAGGAUAAGGUCUUCGGAUUGUAAACUCCUGUCAUGCGAGAGCUAGUAUCGCAAGAGGAAGAGACGGCUAACUCUGUGCCAGCAGCCGCGGUAAUACAGAGGUCUCAAGCGUUGUUCGGAAUCACUGGGCGUAAAGGGUGCGUAGGUGGCGUGGAAAGUCAGAUGUGAAAUCCGGGGGCUCAACCUCCGAAUUGCAUCCGAUACUCCCAUGCUAGAGAACUGGAGGGGAGUCUGGAAUUCUCGGUGUAGCAGUGAAAUGCGUAGAUAUCGAGAGGAACACUAGUGGCGAAGGCGAGACUCUGGACAGUUCUGACACUGAUGCACGAAGGCCAGGGUAGCGAACGGGAUUAGAUACCCUAGUAGUC
rnacentral:rRNA from 1 species